GACGAACCGUGCGAACGUUGUUCGGAAUCACUGGGCUUAAAGCGUGUGUAGGCGGGCGGGCAAGUACCUUGUGAAAUCCCACGGCUCAACCGUGGAACUGCUGGGUAUACUGCCUGUCUUGAGCCAGCUAGGGGCGAGCGGAACAGACGGUGGAGCGGUGAAAUGCGUAGAUAUCGUCUGGAACGCCGAAGGUGAAAACAGCUCGCUGGGGCUGUGCUGACGCUGAGACACGAAAGCCAGGGGAGCGAACGGG
rnacentral:rRNA from 1 species